CCUAGAACUAUUGCUCGAUUGUUCGCGCUAUUGUGAUUUCUGGAUAGCUCGUUUUGUAUUUAGACUUUGAUGGGUGAUUUGUUAGACAUGUAUAAAUAUAGCCAAAAGAAAUUGCGCAAAAUAUGUUUUUAUUUCAGGUGCGGAGAGGUGGGUGGUUCGCUGGCAACAAGCAGAAGGAUUGGACCUGAACUUUCUAAACGGUUUUACAUCCUCUUUCAUUCGAAAGAAAAUAGCGAUUUAGUCAAGGGAUAGAACAUAUUUAAGUUGAAAAGAAAUAGACUGUUGAAUUAAGUAUUAAGAUUCAUUUUGAAUAUUGUAGAAUUAAAACCAAACUACUUCGAUACACAAGCAAUAUGAGCAAAUUAAAACAGUUAAACCGACUUUAUUUACAUUGGAUAACUGUAUAAUUUCGGUUCAAUGGGUCCAGUACAUAGAGAGUUUGUUAGUAGUCUAGUUUUAGUACCUUGAA